UGUGACCUGUGGGUUUCCCUUUGUCAUCCUAUGCCUGGUGGUAGUGAUAAGGCAGGGACAGCAAAGGGGUGCUCAGCUGUCACCACUAACUUCA
ensembl:miRNA dre-mir-204-2 microRNA 211